UUUGAUUUUGAUUUUUUUUUUCUUUCUGAAAACAAGAAACUAAUUUCGAUUUAUUAUUGUGGCGGUCAAGUAUCUCUUUGUUUUUAUUUGUUGGAUACUCAAGAAUCAAUAUCGCGGAGGUAAUUUUGAUUUGACAAGCUUGUUGCUGUAUACUUUUGUCAGAGUGCUGCUAUUUUCACUCUCUCCUAUUUUUCCACCUACUUUAUCUUUAAAAAUUUAAAAACAAAUUUACUCCUUUGUAAAAUGACUUCUAAGAACG
rnacentral:lncRNA from 1 species